GACGUAGGGGGGCAAGCGUUUAUUCGGAAUCAUUGGGCGUAAAAGCGCUCGUAGGCGGAUCGGACAGUCGGUGAAGAAAGACCCGGGCUCAACUCGGGGAACGGCACCGAUACUAUCGAUCUUUGAGGCAAUCAGAGGGUGAUGGAAUUCCCGGUGUAGCGGUGAAAUGCGUAGAUAUCGGGAAGGAACACCAGUGGCGAAGGCGAAUCA
rnacentral:rRNA from 1 species